AUACACGACUGGCGGAAACAGCAUUUGCUGAGUGGGAUUACCUACAGGGAGUGUAUAUAUUUGAACAGCCGACCGCCUGGGCAUAC
rnacentral:ncRNA from 1 species